rnacentral:tRNA from 1 species
GCGCAGAUGGCGAAGUGGUUAACGCGCUCGGCUGCAGCCCGAGUAUUCGCAGGUUCGAGUCCUGCUCUGCGCU